AGUAGUAAAACCGGUAAGACCGGAUAUCGUUUCCCAAGAGACUUUGUUAUUACUUUACUAUCGUAUAAUUACUAACUAAUUUAAACUAAAGAAUGAUUCCAUUUUUUUGUUUGAGAUUGUGAAUGAAAGUAAAAGUUAUGCUUAAGUAAAAGUUUGAACAACUUGGGGCCAAAACACGUGAAAAUGAGAUGAUUGAUAAAUAUGUGGAAUGAAUAUGUUGGAGAAUGAUUUCAACUAAUUCCUUCCUAUGCAAAUGCACUACACCACUCUUCUUCAAUUACUUGUUCUUGUCAACUAGCUAAAUCACUAAAACCCAAUCCCUUGGUGAGAUAGCCUAGGUUCAUUUGUUACAUCCCAAUCCCUUGGUAAUCCAACAAACUCACCCGCAUUAAGAAAAGAAGUUUAUGACAACUAACGGUCCUAGCUCUAUCCCUAGACACUAUUUCCCUUAGGUGUUUGGUCUAGUUCAAGGUUCACCCAAUGUUUCCCAACCUUAAGUAAACCCCAUAAUCAAGCUAUGGUUGAUCAAGUCAUAACUAGCAUUAAGUAAAAGACGAAAACACCAACAAGCAAUGAAUGAAGCAUUUUUCAUUUAAAAACAAGUGCAUUUACAAGAAGUUCUUAGUUUACAUCACUCUCCAACAAAAUGAACUUAGCUCUCUAUUAAUGGAGAGCUUGAGCUUACAAUGGAAUGAUAAUGGUGAAGAAGAGACUCAAGG
rnacentral:lncRNA from 1 species